AUGGACAUACACCGCUCCGUAUGCACUGCCGCCGUCGUGCUACUAUUAUUAUCAUUUUCCAGCUUCCCAAAGCCGUCCGCCGGCUCCGCCGCUAGAGCCGAGCUCGUCACGUGGAAGUGCGACAACGGCACGUACUACGGUGAGAACUCCACCUACCAGUCCAACGUCCGCAGCCUUCUUGCGUCCCUCGCCGCGAACGCCUCCCGCUCGUUAUUCCCGGUGGGAUUCGCCACCGCCGUCGUCGGCGCAAGCCCCGACAUGGUGUGGGGUCUGGGGCUCUGCCGCGGGGACACCACCAACGGCACCGAGUGCGCGUCCUCCUGCCUGGACCUCGCGCCGGAGGUCGCGUUCGGCAGGUGCAUGGGCGUCAAAGACGUGUCCAUCUUCUACGACCGCUGCACCGUCCGCUACUCUUUCCGGGACUUCCUCACCAGCCCGGACAACCGGCAGGUGCAGGUCUGGGGAGCCAGCGACGACUCCGUCGCCCCCCGAGACACCGGCCGGUUCGACGCGCUCGUAGCGAGCCUCGUCGGCGCGCUCUCCGACUGGGCGGCGUUCAACACGACGACCAGGUACGCCUCCGGGGUCUUGGUCUCCGACCAGGGCUUCCCGACCACCCCCAGCAAGGACUUGGUGCACAGGAUCAACGGCCUGGUGCAGUGCACACCGGACCAGGCGCCGGGCCGGUGCCGCGAGUGCCUCCAGGGGCUCAUCGACGAGAUGCCGGCGGUGUUCAACGGCAGCGUUGGAGGGCGGAUCCUCGCGGUAUGGUGCAACCUCAGGUUCGAGGUGCACGAGUUCUACGACGGCAGCCCCAUGCUGAAGCUCACCGCCCCGUAG
rnacentral:rRNA from 1 species